rnacentral:pre_miRNA from 1 species
GAGAAUGAGGAUGAGAUUGAGAGAAAGGAUGAGAGGGGAGGAUGGGAGGGAGGAGUAACAAAAGUGAAAACAAUUUCAAAUAGAUUUCAGGUUUUAGUUUUUGUUUUCACUUUUGUUACUCCUCCCUCCCAUCCUUCCCUCUCAUAUUCCCUCUCAAUCCCAUCUCUACUCUCA